rnacentral:rRNA from 1 species
AUGGAUGGCGCUUUGGAGCUGCGUCGCCCGAUCUGGCCGCCAGCCCAGUAUCUGAUCCCUGCGUUGGCUUCGGCUCGAUUCGGACGUCCACAGCCUCUGCCACCUGCGCAUGCCCCCCUAGGUCCGGCCGAUGAUCUCGCGCCGCUUCGUCUGCUCGCGUUGACCCCGAGAAGGCCAACGCCUCGUCCAGCCGCGGCCCGGCCUGUGACGGCGGCGGCGACGGCAUCCCCGUGCCGUGGUGGUGGAGCUCUCCGGUGGGUGGCUGGGCGACAGGGGAUGCGGGGCUGGCUCGGUUGCUCGCCAGAUCGGCAGGCCUGUGUGGGAGGCGCGGGGGAGGCGGUCUGGCGCAGCGGUGGCCUACUGUGUGUCGUCCUCGGCAGCUGCCUGGCGGGAUGCGUUGUGGUGGUGCCGUGUGCACUGCGGCUGCCAAUGGAGGACACGGACACCGGCGACGACGGGAAGGAGAAGGACACGCGCGCGGACGUGGCGGCGCCGCCGCCGUGCGGCAUGACGCGGGACGACGAGUGCUGCGACCGGCGCCAGUACGAGAAGGACGACGACAGCGCCCUCCGCCCGGCGCCUCCGCCGCCGCCCCGCGCCGACGAGGACGACCUCCUCCAAGCCACGUCGCCGCCGGGUGGCGCGCCGGCCGCGGAGGGGGACGACGGCCACCACGUGGAGAGCGACGCCGACGCCAAGAAGGUGACGCGCUGGGACGCGGACGCGUCGGCGGCGGCGGCGGCCUCGUCCACGCUCUUGCCGGAGCUCAGCUUCGCCAGCGGGGGCUGCUUCUUCUUGGAGCGGCGCGGGAGGUGGAAGCACAGCGACGCGCACCCGCUGCCCAUGUCCGGCCACCGCGGCGGCCGCACCCGCGGCGGGCUGCUGCUGGUUUCCCGGGACGACGGCUCGGCCGACACCGGCGCGUCUUCCUGGGGAGCGGCCAUGGGUGGCGUUGCUCGGUGGGCUCGACGGAAUGGAAGCGAGGGACUGCUCUGGAGCAUGGACGGACGACUGACUGGACAUGGUAUCACGAGCGGUUUAUAG